rnacentral:rRNA from 1 species
ACCGGCGGCUCGAGUGGUGGCCACUAUUACUGGGCUUAAAGCGUUCGUAGCUGGCUUGUUAAGUCUCUGGGGAAAUCUUCCGGCUCAAUCGGAAGGCGUCUCAGGGAUACUGGCAGGCUAGGGACCGGAAGAGGUGAGAGGUACUCCAGGGGUGGGAGUGACAAGCAGGAAUCCUAGAGGGAGCAACUGAGGCGGAGGCAUCACACCGGGUCAGCUCCGACUGUGAGGAACGAAAGCUAGGGGAGCAAACCU